rnacentral:tRNA from 1 species
AGGGUUGUGGCUCAGUGAUAGAGCACUUGCCUAGCACGUAUGAGGCAAUAGGUUCGAUCCUCAGCACUA